rnacentral:tRNA from 1 species
GGCAUUCUAGGCCUAGUUGGUAUCGCAUUGGCCUAGAAUGCCGAAGACGCUGGUUCGAAUCCAGCCGGUGCCC